AAAGUCGUAACAAGGUUUUCCGUAGGUGAACCCUGCGGAAGGAUCAUUUAAACGAGUAAGGGGUCCUGACCGGCCCCGACCCUCCAACCCCUUUUGUCGUUAAAAAAACCACUGUUGCUUUGGCGGGACAGCGGGGUCCCCCAGGGGGCCCGCCGCCGGUCUACGGCCCGGCGAGCGCCUGCCAGAGUCCAACCAUAAAUCUUGUCAUAGAACAGUACGUCUGAGUAAAUUGAUAAAAUCAAUCAAAA
rnacentral:misc_RNA from 1 species